AACACACUUACAGAUGAGUCUAGAAAGUUGACUCUGAAAUUGAAGAGGAAAUCAGCUAAGUCAAUAUGAAUGAGGGGCUAUGGGCUUUGUUCAUUGCCUCUUGGACAUCAAGAACAGAACUGGAGGACCAUAGACAUCUCAAAUGCAACAUAUCCAAAAGAAACUUAUAAACUUUCCAUCCAAACUUUCCCCUUUUACCAAACUUCCUUAUUAUUAUUAUUAAGGAUAACCCAAUUUUUCUGA
rnacentral:lncRNA from 1 species